GGAGAGGCCUUCUCGCAGUUGAUUA
rnacentral:piRNA from 1 species